rnacentral:rRNA from 1 species
GACGAACGCUGGCGGCGCGCUUAACACAUGCAAGUCGAACGGAAAGGCCUGCUUUCCCUUGUGGAUUGCGGGUACUCGAGUGGCGAACGGGUGAGUAACACGUGAGUGAUCUGCCCCCAACUUGGGUAUAAGCCUGGGAAACUGGGUCUAAUUCCCGAUAGGACUGCAGGGUGGUGCCUGUGGUGGAAAACGAUUUUCUAGUGGUUGGGGAUGAGCUCGCGGCCUACCAGCUUGUUGGUGGGGUAAUGGCCUACCAAGGCGGCGACGGGUAGCCGGCCUGGGAGGGUGGACGGCCACAUUGGGACUGAGAUACGGCCCAGACUCCUACGGGAGGCAGCAGUGGGGAAUAUUGCACAAUGGGCGGAAGCCUGAUGCAGCGACGCCGCGUGGGGGAUGACGGCCUUCGGGUUGUAAACUCCUUUCGACCGCGAGGAAGCCACCUGGUUGGAAGGGUGGUGACGGUAGUGGUAGAAGAAGCACCGGCUAACUACGUG